ACAGUAAGAGCUUGCUCUUACGGGUGGCGAGUGGCGGACGGGUGAGGAAUGCAUCGGAAUCUACUCUGUCGUGGGGGAUAACGUAGGGAAACUUACGCUAAUACCGCAUACGACCUACGGGUGAAAGCAGGGGAUCUUCGGACCUUGCGCGAUUGAAUGAGCCGAUGCCCGAUUAGCUAGUUGGCGGGGUAAGAGCCCACCAAGGCGACGAUCGGUAGCUGGUCUGAGAGGAUGAUCAGCCACACUGGAACUGAGACACGGUCCAGACUCCUACGGGAGGCAGCAGUGGGGAAUAUUGGACAAUGGGCGCAAGCCUGAUCCAGCCAUACCGCGUGGGUGAAGAAGGCCUUCGGGUUGUAAAGCCCUUUUGUUGGGAAAGAAAAGCAUUCGGUUAAUACCCGAUUGUUCUGACGGUACCCAAAGAAUAAGCACCGGCUAACUUCGUGCCAGCAGCCGCGGUAAUACGAAGGGUGCAAGCGUUACUCGGAAUUACUGGGCGUAAAGCGUGCGUAGGUGGUUGUUUAAGUCUGUCGUGAAAGCCCUGGGCUCAACCUGGGAAUUGCGAUGGAA
rnacentral:rRNA from 1 species